rfam:Fukomys damarensis contig91978, whole genome shotgun sequence.
AGCUUUUCAAAGUGGCAGUAUCGUAGCCAAUGAGGUUUAUCUGAGGCAUGAUUAUUGCUAAUUGAAAAAUUAAAUAGUGAAAUCACAAUGAACAUUGCUAACAUCAAAAAAAAUUGUUAGCUAUUACUUUGCAAACUUUUAUACCAAUAUAUUGG